UACGGAGGGUGCGAGCGUUGUCCGGAAUCAUUGGGCGUAAAGGGCGCGUAGGUGGCCCGGUCAGUUCGUGGUGAAAGCGCGGGGCUCAACCCUGCGUCGGCCAUGAAUACUGCCGCGGCUGGAGCACUGUAGAGGCAGGCGGAAUUCCGGGUGUAGCGGGGGAAUGCGUAGAGAUCCGGAAGAACACCGGUGGCGAAGGCGGCCUGCUGGGCAGUUGCUGACACUGAGGCGCGACAGCGUGGGGAGCAAACAGG
rnacentral:rRNA from 1 species